CCUACGGGUGGCAGCAGUGGGGAAUAUUGGGCAAUGGGCGCAAGCCUGACCCAGCAACGCCGCGUGAAGGAAGAAGGCUUUCGGGUUGUAAACUUCUUUUCUCAGGGACGAAGCAAGUGACGGUACCUGAGGAAUAAGCCACGGGUAACUACGUGCCAGCAGCCGCGGGAAUACGUAGGUGGCAAGCGUUAUCCGGGUUUACUGGGUGGAAAGGGCGUGUAGGUGGGAAAGCAAGUCAGAUGUGAAAACCAUGGGCUCAACCUGUGGCCUGCAUUUGAAACUGCUGUUCUUGAGUACUGGAGAGGCAGACGGAAUUCCAAGUGUAGCGGUGAAAUGCGUAGAUAUUAGGAAGAACACCAGUGGCGAAGGCGGUCUGCUGGACAGCAACUGACGCUGAGGCGCGAAAGCGUGGGGAGCAAACAGGAUUAGAUACCCCAGUAGUC
rnacentral:rRNA from 1 species